UGAGCUCCGUGAGGCUGUGCUGCUUGUAUUUGCUAACAAACAAGAUCUCCCUAAUGCUAUGAAUGCUGCCGAGAUAACUGAUAAGCUUGGCCUCCACUCUCUCCGGCAGCGUCACUGGUAAAUUUUCUGGCUGUACUGCCAUCUAAUAGUUUAUUUUAUAGUCUCUAUCUUGUCUUAAAAGUCCUACUGCUAUCCGGUUUCUAAUUUUGCUUAUAUGGUCUUUCCAGGUACAUCCAGAGCACCUGUGCAACCUCUGGUGAAGGGCUUUACGAGGGAUUGGAUUGGCUCUCCAACAAUAUUGCUAACAAGGUAUGAAUUCAAAAAUUCUUUCCGUCCUAUAAACAAAGUUUUAGGGCCAGAAUAUGAGACUUCAAUUUGACCAUCUAAUUAUUGGACUCUUCCAUCAUUAAUUACUGUCCGCAACCUUUUGAUGCUCAAGUUCACUUAGAUUGAACCAACUAUCAGUGCUAUUUCCAAGAGAGAACUUUAUAAAGAUGAACCUUGAGGUGGUGACUUAUGUUUCUAUUAUUUUC
rnacentral:lncRNA from 1 species